UAGCCUAGUGGUUCAGGCUAUGGAUCGCCAAUCCAUAGACGGCGGGUUCGAUUCCCGU
rnacentral:tRNA from 1 species